rnacentral:rRNA from 1 species
AACACAUGCAAGUCGAACGAGAAAGUGGAGCAAUCCAUGAGUAAAGUGGCGCACGGGUGAGUAACACGUGACUAACCUACCCUCGAGUGGGGAAUAACCUCGGGAAACCGGGGCUAACACCGCAUAAUAUCUACGGAUCAAAUGCGUAAGCAGCUUGAGGAGGGGGUCGCGGCUGAUUAGCUAGUUGGCGGGGUAAUGGCCCACCAAGGCAGUGAUCAGUAGCCGGCCUGAGAGGGCGCACGGCCACACUGGAACUGAAACACGGUCCAGACUCCUAGGGGAGGCAGCAGUGGGGAAUUUUGCGCAAUGGGGGAAACCCUGACGCAGCAACGCCGCGUGGAGGAUGAAGCCCCUUGGGGUGUAAACUCCUUUCGAUCGGGACGAUUAUGACGGUACCGGAAGAAGAAG